CCUUGCCCCAUUGACUGGUUACUGAAGAGCCUAUGUAGUGCCGAGGAGGAGCUGAAUUAUAGAGAAGCACACGGGCUGCAUCAUUUAUACGUCUGUCAGGGAUGAACCUUUUCAACUUGUUUAUUUAUAUUGAUGGCAUCUGGAGGCAAGGAAUUGUACAGUCAGCUUUUGAUAGCCUAAAGGGCUUCUUUUAAUUUUAAAAACUCAGAUUGUUUAUUUUAAAAUGCAAGCAGAUUAUAUAUCCGAGAAGAACAUACUCCAGGGCUUGCAUUUUUCUUUUUUACCUUGAAUUACAGGGGUAAAAAAAAAUCACUUCUAAUCCAGGGCAGCAUUAGCUCAGAUGUUCAAAAAGAAUCACUGUUUUGUAUACGGAGUAGCCAUUUAUAUCUGUGCAACUUGGCUUUAAAAUGCUGCUGUUGUUAUUCUCCUGUGUUUCACACCUGCUGGAAGGGGCUGGACAAGAGAGAACUCAACCAGACAUUGCACAUAAUUUCAGUUAAGCCCGGUAGUGGCAGUGCUGUGAAAUCUGAUAUUUGUCCUAAGGUCAGGAGUGUGGAAGGAGCAGGGGUUCUGAUUACAACUGAUCUGCAUCUUCGGAGAUAUUAGCAUCCAGAACUAAACAAAAGAAUAAGCGCUCAUAAGAAAACUGAAGUUGAUGGAGAAAAGAGGCUGAGCUAUGAUAAUCAUAUCCAGAUGGAGAUGUCCCUUAUUCACUGGAUUUGUGGAAUACCACUUGUGGGAAAUGCAGGAGAAGCCCAUCUGCAGCCUCGUCGCGUCUGCUCCUCAGCCUGCUGGCAGCAAAGCGGCACGUGUUGCGUUACGGAGAGGCUUGGAGCCAGCCCUGCCUGAUACACUUGUAUGUUGCAUAUUUACAGUAUCUUGUUACAUUCCUUAUGAGUGCUGACAUCUCUGGGUGUAAUGUAUUCAGGAUCAAUAAGUGCCAUUAAAAUCUUUAUGCAUGUUGUAGUUAAGAGGUAGGGAGUGUUUGAACAAGUCCCAAGUU
rnacentral:lncRNA from 1 species